rnacentral:rRNA from 1 species
UACGUAGGGUCCGAGCGUUGUCCGGAAUUAGUGGGCGUAAAGAGCUCGUAGGCGGUUUGUCGCGUCUGCUGUGAAAUCCCGAGGCUCAACCUCGGGCCUGCAGUGGGUACGGGCAGACUGGAGUGCGGUAGGGGAGGAUGGAAUUCCUGGUGUAGCGGUGGAAUGCGCAGAUAUCAGGAGGAACACCGAUGGCGAAGGCAGUUCUCUGGGCCGUAACUGACGCUGAGGAGCGAAAGCGUGGGGAGCGAACAGG